rnacentral:rRNA from 1 species
UACGGAGGAUCCGAGCGUUAUCCGGAUUUAUUGGGUUUAAAGGGUGCGUAGGUGGUUUGAUAAGUCAGCGGUGAAAGUUUGCAGCUUAACUGUAAAAAUGCCGUUGAAACUGUCGGACUUGAGUGUAAAUGAGGUAGGCGGAAUGCGUGGUGUAGCGGUGAAAUGCAUAGAUAUCACGCAGAACUCCGAUUGCGAAGGCAGCUUACUAAGCUACAACUGACACUGAAGCACGAAAGCGUGGGGAUCAAACAGGAUUAGAUACCCUGGUAGUCCACGCAGUAAACGAUGAUUACUAGCUGUUUGCGAUACACAGUAAGCGGCACAGCGAAAGCGUUAAGUAAUCCACCUGGGGAGUACGCCGGCAACGGUGAA